GAGGUUUGGGUCUGGGGGAGCAAAUUAGUAAGGAAAUAACAAGGUUAGUUUAUACAGCCCUCUCGGCCUUAAAUCCCCUAUCUCUGGUGCUAAGGAUGCCCCGUACCCUCCUGGUGCAAGGAGGGCGGGCACCUUUCACACGGGAGAUUUAUUUCCUGCCUUCGAGGGGACGGAGGAGGUCAGAGAGUCCUUCUUGCAUGGGCUGUUUCUUAAGUAACUUUAAUUCAAAACAACCAAUAUGCCAAAUCGGCAUAUUUGGGGAUGACACAUGCUGCUCCCCUUCAGUAUUUUACCACAAUUUCAAAAACUGAAAAAAAAAAAAAAAAGCAGCACCCAAUAAUAACAUCUACUCCUCUGCUGAUGAGUGAACGCUUACCACCUCAAUACGAGGCACAGCGCUAAAUGAUUUACAUGCAGGAAUUCAUCUGCUGCUCAUAACAAGCCUCCCAGAAACUCUUAUCUCGUUUUGCAGAUGGGGAAACUGAGGCACGGAGAAACCAAGUAACUUGUCCAAGGUCACACAGCUGGUAACGGCUAAGCCAGACCCAGACGAGACACACUGGCCCUUGAGUCCCCGAUACUGUCACCCAAAACUGGGUCCGCCCCUUGGUGGGUGUCGAGCCAAGAGACACAACCAAGCCAAGGACGAGGCAAAGGAGGGUUUUUACUUGCAACAAGCAAUGGAGAACUCGGGGGAUGUUUCCCAAAGCAGCGUCUCCUCCAUCAACAAAGAUGGCGAGGUUGGAAUCCAGGGGUGCACGCGUAUUCAUGAAGGGGCGGCAGGACUGGGAAUUAGCAUGGCAUUGGGGCAAAAGUCACCUUAAAGUGACAGAGUCCGGGUCCAAGUCACGAGGGCGGCAAGGGUAGGCAUCGUCAAUUCUCUGGCUUCAGUUGGUCCCAUAUCUGGGUGCUCAGAGGGGUUUAGAUCCCACAAAGAUAACUCAGCAAUGUGAGGCCGGUCAGUCUUCACUUUUUAGAUCAGCGUCGGGAGUUUUCCACCGAUGUAAUUAGACUAUCUCCUGGCCCGAAAGAUCUCCCAUCUUUCCUAAGAUGCCCCGGGGCCUAAAAUGACUUCUCUUAUGUCAAGAAAACCAUGUCUUUCUUUUUGUGGGGCCCCCUAACUCUUUCUGCUUCCAGUAAUGACCUAUGUGAGAGGCCUUAUUAGGCCCAAUUCCCUUUUGAUGGACUUGUCCAAUGAGACCCCGGGGGAAGGCUCUGGGGAAGGUGGGGUCAACGGAGAGUUCCACUUGGAGGACGAGGACUGUCGGCCAUCAGCCCCUUCCCCCCAGUCCCAGAGCAGCCAUCAGGCCAUCCCUAUGGAGAAUGAACCACACUCAGCCCUCCAGGAGCCUCCAGGCCUGAGGCGGUGAGUACUGGGCUCAGCCAGGGGCAUAGGGGUGGGUCCUGCAUCAUGUGGGGCCGGACCAGGAGCAGCCUGAAGACUCCAUGACCCCUUGUUACCGAACCAGGCCCUUGGGUUCUCAAGCAAUAGACGUUGACAGGAGGUUGAACGGGAGGUUCGGGCAAGGCUUUACUGGGGCUUACGCUCGAGCACAAGGGAGGCAGCCCAAGAGAAGGAAUCCUCAAGCUGACUCCCUGAGGAGAGGUCGGGCGAGUUUCUGAAAGAAACUUGGGUGGGAGGGGGGCGCCUGGGUGGCUCAGUCGGUUCAGCAUCCAACUUCGACUCUGGUCAUGAUCUUGCGGUCCGAGGGUUCGAGCCCCGGGUCGGGCUCUGUGCUGACAGCUCAGAGCCUGGAGCCUGCUUCGGAGUCUGUGUCUCCCACUCUCUCUGUGCCCCUCCCCCACUCAUGCUCUGUCUCUCUCUCUCUCUCUCUCUCAAAAUAAAUAAACAUUAAAAAAAAUAGAGAAACUUGGGUGGGAAAAGGGUGCCAUCCAAGCCUGCAGGGGCAGGGAUGUGUUAGCGUCGGUGCACUUACAAAUCAUGCUUCUUCAUGCGUUGUGUGCCUGAUUGAUAAUUAAAUCUCCACCCCUGGGCAUGAUUCUUAGUGGUAUAUUGAGGGGGAACGCGGCCAAGGGUCAGCACUGGGGUCCAUCUCAGCACAAACUGGUUUCGUCUCUGCCAGGCUCUGUAGUCCAGUCCCUCCUGUCGGUAAGCAAUCUGCCCCCACGCUCCUGCGUGUUUCAGUUUUGGGGUUUUUUUUAUUUCUUAUGGAGGUAGCCAAAGAACGCUGGCUUUUGCGGUCAGGGUUGCAGGGACCUGAGUCCAAUCCCUGUUCUGUCUCACUCCGAGGAGGAGAAUCACUGACAGGCCCAGAGGGUUCCUGCUCUCAGUAAAGGGAGCGGCCAGGGCUGUCUGGGUACGAGAAAGGUCAGGCCUUUGAUCACCCUCCAGGAGUCUGGAAGCAGCUAUGGCUGAGCCCUGGGAAGUCAGGGGUCAGCUCUGGUUAUCUUGUCUUUCCUCCUCUGGAGGUCAUGACCCUGGUACUGGUCACGAUCACCUUCAGGAAGUGACCACGGCAGGGACUGGCUUCCUUCCCCGCCCCUGGCCGGUCCCCCGGGGGCCUCGCCAGCUUGCUUCGCAAAUUAACACUGUCUUUAAAAAUCAAAAAAUACAGAGCUGAUCCCAGAUCUGUCAAGGGCUAGAGGGGAAAGAGGAAGGGCUGGGGAACAGACAAGUCUGGGGCACUUACCGGUGCAAUGAACUUGUGCCCUCGAACAAUUCGCAAGCCACCCCUGAUCCUCAACCUUGUUGGCAGUAAAUGGGGACAGUGACCUGAACUCACAGGCCUUGGGAAGAUUAAAUAUGAUGACGUUGGUGGGGUCUGACGCUCACAACUGUUUCAUCACCUCUUUGCUCUUGAUGGAAUGUCUUUUCUCUCUGUCCUUGAUGGAGCGUCUUUUCUCUUUGCUCUUGAUGGAACGUCUUUUCGUGACCUGGGAAGGGAGGGAGGUAGCAGCCAGUGAAAGGGAACAAGAAAACAUCUAAAAGUAAAACAUUUUGCCUGCCUAAGCUUUGAAAAUCAAACCUUCCCUCCAGGCUCAAGCCCAGACCCUCCUGCUGGGCCCGGCUCUGAGCCCCACACUCAGGGGCUCCAAUGUGGCUUCUGUGCAUGGGCCAGAGGGAAACUGACACCUAGAGCCAAGCCAGUGGCUGAGCUGCGGGCCAGAGAAGGGCCCGGCGCCCAGGCAGAGGGAAGGAGCUGGAAGAGAGGCCAGAAGCCAGUGGGGAAGAGAGAGGGGGAAGGAGGAGGACAGGAGGGAGAGAGAGAAGGAGAGUCAGAGACAGGAAGGAGGAAGAAUGACAGACAAGAAAGAGAAACAGGGAGAAAGAGAGACAAGGCAAGUGAUCUGUGUGAAUCCCUUUUGCUCAGGGCCCUUUCCUCCUCCCUGUCCCCUCCCUGCCCUGUCCCCCGCUGCACUCACCCCCACCUCCUCUAUAAUACUGCUCUUCUCCUGUAAAAGCAGACUAAUCACAGCCAGCCCCUGGGGGCCCAGUGAGCCACCACAGCAGGUGUCCUGGGAAAGGUGACCCUUACGUUUGUUCCCCCUUCUCAGGAAGGCACGCGGGCUAUGCCCAGGGGAUGCUUUCCCUGGGGGAAGCAUCCAGGGGAAUCAGGGUGGAAUGGGGGCAGGAGUCACCGGCUCACGGCACAGGGAGGCAAAGUGAAGUCACCUCAACAUAUAUAAACACACACAUUAGCUGGAGCUGGGAUGAUAGUGCAGACUUUUCAAAGCACCCAGUAGGUACACAACAAAGAUCUGUUGAAUGAAUGAAGGACAUCCCAUUCACAGAUAUGACGUGGUUCCCAGAUGCCCCUGUGGAUUGAAGAGGGUGAUUGCCAUGAUCUCAUCUUUCUAGACAAAGAAGGAAAGGCCCAGAGAGGUCAAGCAACCUGCCCAAGGACCCACAGCGGCAGCUGGUACUCCUGACACCUGGGGACCACUGAGUCCAGAUCUCCUUUGACAGAUCAGGGGGCUCAGGCUCGGGGAACUGCAGAGUGAUGGACCCAAGGGCACCAGCCAGGGUGGUACCACGACUGGCCGGGACUUGGACCCAGGACUUCUCUGACCACAGGUUAGGUGCCUGGAUCUAGGCUGUCUUUCCCUUGGGCCCUUCUGCACUACCUCUUCCUUCCCCUCCCAACCCAGAGCUGUGACAGCCCUGGUCCCAGCCCCACCCUGACCUCAGCCUUGGGAGGCCAGAUGCCUGGAACUCGCCAGGAAAAUGGAGCUGUGUGGUCCCUUCAGCUUUCUGUGGCCUCCUCCAAGAUGUUCUCCUGGGCUCUUUCCCCACCAGAAGGGCCCAGGAGAACAUGAGCAGUCCUGUAGAUGCUCUACCUUACCCUAGAAGUGAGCCAGCCCCCCCCCCGCCACGGCCAGCCCCCGACACAGUCUAGGACUCCAGACUGCCAAGUCCAACACCUGAAAGACACUGAAUACAAUACACCGAAAUAUCUCUUAGGACGUCGUCCCCAGGCCUUACUAUCGGGCCUCUGCUUACACGCCUUCUGUGAUGGGGAACUCAUUCCCCCAAGUCACCCACCACAUGGAGACAGCCCUGACUGUUAGAAAGCCUUUCCUUAGACUAAACGGGAAAGCUGUAACCUGUGGCCUUACCGCUCUGUCCUAGACACAACUCCCAGGGCUACGUAGGCUGAAUCCCUUUUUCCCAAGGUAGCUGUUCAAAUAUUUGAAAGAAUAAUCAUGGUCAUCUAUUCAUUUCUGAAAUACUUACUUGAAGACAGCCACCGUAGCUCUUUUCAUCCAUUCAUUCAUCUUCCUGGCUCCCAGGUCCUGGGCUGGCUUCUGGGGAUGUGACUCCACCGUCUCAGCCCUCAGAAUGUCCCCAGUGUCCUGGGGGAGACAGAUGCUUGGGCCAGCCGUUACACGCAAGGUCCCAGUGCUGUGAUGGGGGCGGGGGGGGGGGCCGGGGAAGCAGAAGAAACAAGUUCCAGACAGAGAAGCAGGAAGGUCCGAAAGACCCCUGGCCCCAGGGGCAGUGAAAAUGGAAGGAUGAUGGCUGCAGGGGAGAAUGGGGGGAGAAUAGACCCACUCUGGUCGCACCUGCAUCCUGGACCACGCAGGCUAGAGACCCGCCUCGCUUUGAUGUUCAGGCAAAUGUAAAGUCCAAGCCCACGGGAGCCAAGAGCAAAGGAGAGAAAAGGGCUGUGAGGGAGCGGAGAGUCCAGGCCCAGGGUGAGGGCCAGGCCCUGGCUGGGCUUCCCAUGCGCAGUGGGGAAUUGUCCUCACUGCAGUCCUGCAGAGGAACCCUUAUCCAACUGCCAGACGAGCUGGUGGGGCACAUUCGGUCACAUGUGGGUGACCCUGUCGAGAGAGGGGCCCCCGGCCCUGUGUGCGGGCUCAGUAGCUCAUCUAGGCUCAGGCUGGUCUCUGACCCCAGAGCUCAGCCCGUGUCCAGGACUGCCCUGGGGCAGUGGACAAGGAGGCCAGGGUAGGAGUCACUGGGUGGCCCAGCCCACGGAAAGGCCCAGUGGCCAAACAAGGGCCAGCUUUGCAUGACCUUGGGCUCAGGCUCAGGCCUGUCCAGCCCUAUCUUGGACUCGCUCCCUGGGAGCUGGGGUCAGUGGGGUUAAGGGCUCUGCUCUGGUUCAGACAGACCAGGAUUUCAGUCCUACCUCUGGGCUUCACCGGCUGGUCCCCCACCAGCCUAUGGGCUCCAGGAGGCAGGAGGGGGUCACUGGCGAGAGGCCUGGAGGGGUGGACAGGAGCGCAGGCUCUAGAGUCAGAGGUCAGAGCUCAAAUCUUGGUUCUGACCCUGAACAGCCAUGCCCUGGACAAGCCACAUAACCUCUCAAGCCUCAGUGCCCUCAUCUGGAAAAUGGGCUGAUAACAGUAAUCCCCACCUCCCCAGACACACGGGCUGGUUGUGAGGGGUCCGUUGCCCAUCGGGUGGAGCAUUCAACAUGGAGUCAGAGCUCUACUGAGGUUACACAUAAUUAUCUUCACCUCUUGGUUCCUGGACAGAGCCCUG
rnacentral:lncRNA from 1 species